rnacentral:lncRNA from 1 species
CCGAAGCCUUUUCCUCAGAACUUCAGACUCCGCCUCGACAUCCUUGACCGCCUGCUGCUCAUAGGCCAGCUGAAUCUUCAAUCGCUGCAAUUUGACCUUCUCCUGCCCAAGGGCCAUGGACAGUUCUUCCAUGGUCCCCCUCAAGGGAGCUGAUCUUGGAAGCCUAAGUCCAAGAUCGGUCGCUGGUGCGUUUUCGGAGUUCCUCAAGCUCCUUCACGAAGUCAGCCUUCCUCCGGGUGUAAUCCAUGAAGCCCUUUUUGUGGAGGUUCCGAAAGCGAGU